rnacentral:rRNA from 1 species
UACGUAGGGGGCAAGCGUUGUCCGGAUUUAUUGGGCGUAAAGAGCGUGUAGGCGGCUUUACAGGUCCGUUGUGAAAGCCCGGAGCUCAACUUCGGAAUUGCCUUUAAGACUGCAUCGCUUGAAUCAUGGAGAGGUCAGUGGAAUUCCGAGUGUAGAGGUGAAAUUCGUAGAUAUUCGGAAGAACACCAGUGGCGAAGGCGACUGACUGGACAUGUAUUGACGCUGAGGUGCGAAAGCGUGGGGAGCAAACAGG